rnacentral:rRNA from 1 species
AUUGAACGCUGGCGGCAGGCCUAACACAUGCAAGUCGAACGCGUGGCGGACGGGUGAGUAAUGUCUGGGAAAAUGCCUGAUGGAGGGGGAUAACUACUGGAAACGGUAGCUAAUACCGCAUACCAUCGGAUGUGCCCAGAUGGGAUUAGCUAGUAGGUGGGGUAACGGCUCACCUAGGCGACGAUCCCUAGCUGGUCUGAUAGGAUGACAACCCAAACUGUAACUGAGACACGGGCCAGAUGCAUACGGGAUGCAGCAGUGGCGAAUAUUGCACAAUGGGCGCAAGCCUGAUGCAGACAUGGCGCGUGUAUGAAGAAGGACUUCUGGUUGUAAAGGACUUUCAGCGGGGAGGCGUUACCCGCAGAAGAAGCACCGGCUAACUCCGUGCCAGCAGCCGCGGUAAUAC